rnacentral:rRNA from 1 species
CGCCAGACUCCUACGGGAGGCAGCAGUGAGGAAUAUUGGUCAAUGGCCGCAGGGCUGAACCAGCCAAGUCGCGUGAGGGAUGACGGUCCUAUGGAUUGUAAACCUCUUUUGUCAGGGAGCAAAGGGCGCCACGUGUGGCGUUUUGCGAGUACCUGAAGAAAAAGCAUCGGCUAACUCCGUGCCAGCAGCCGCGGUAAUACGGAGGAUGCGAGCGUUAAUCGGAAUUACUGGGCGUAAAGGGUGUGCAGGCGGCUGAGUAAGACAGAUGUGAAAUCCCCGGGCUUAACCUGGGAACCGCAUAUGUGACUGCUUGGCUAGAGUGCGUCAGAGGGAGGUGGAAUUCCACGUGUAGCAGUGAAAUGCGUAGAUAUCGAGAGGAACACUCGUGGCGAAGGCGGGUUCCUGGACAUUAACUGACGCUGAGGCACGAAGGCCAGGGGAGCGAAAGGGAUUAGAUACCCCUGUAUAA